rnacentral:rRNA from 1 species
GACGAACGCUGGCGGCGUGCCUAAUACAUGCAAGUAGAACGCUGAAGGAGGAGCUUGCUUCUCUGGAUGAGUUGCGAACGGGUGAGUAACGCGUAGGUAACCUGCCUGGUAGCGGGGGAUAACUAUUGGAAACGAUAGCUAAUACCGCAUAAUAGUAGAUGUUGCAUGACAUUUGCUUAAAAGGUGCAAUUGCAUCACUACCAGAUGGACCUGCGUUGUAUUAGCUAGUUGGUGGGGUAACGGCUCACCAAGGCGACGAUACAUAGCCGACCUGAGAGGGUGAUCGGCCACACUGGGACUGAGACACGGCCCAGACUCCUACGGGAGGCAGCAGUAGGGAAUCUUCGGCAAUGGACGGAAGUCUGACCGAGCAACGCCGCGUGAGUGAAGAAGGGUUUCGGAUCGUAAAGCUCUGUUGUAAGAGAAGAACGUGUGUGAGAGUGGAAAGUUCACACUGUGACGGUAUCUGACCAGAAAGGGACGGCUAACUACGUG